GCCACCAACCAAUCUGAGCCAUCUAUUAUUUCUUCACUUUCAACCAUCCGAUUAUUCUCCUCCUCUCUUGUGUCCUCUCCUAACCCUUCUUUCUCUGUCUUUGGUUUUUCCUCCACACAACCGCCAACAUCAAUUUCUCUCUCAUCUUUCUCUUCGUUUUUGAAUUUCUUUAUUCAAUUUCUAGGGUUUCAUUUGGUAGGAAUUUUACUUUCUCUCUCAAGAAGACUUCAAUUUCAUCGACAAUCGCAGAUGCCUGGGGUUUUGUUUUGGCAGGCCAUGAAGGAAGCAAUUGUCUACUAGGAUGUAAUUGGGCUUUGAAGAAACCUUACAUAAUUCUCAUGGAUUUCAUAAAUCGAAACUCGAAUUUCAAUUACCCCCAAAUUUUUACUGAGAACUAUGUAAUUUGGGAGAUCAACAACGAUCGGCCGUCUGAUCUUCUCGAUUUCUUCAUCUUCAUCUCCACUUUUGAGGCUCUUAAAUGUGCAGUGCAACAACAAGUAGCUUGAUGGGCAUGCUUAUUGGAAGAUUUUUUGUUGGAAUUAGCAUGGGACUUGGCCCAGCUGUUGCAGGUCUAUAUGUGGCUGAGGUUGCACCAACAUAUGUUAGGGGUACAUUUGGAACUUUCACUCAAAUUGCGACAUGCCUGGGACUUAUGGCUUCCUUUUUAAUCGGCGUUCCUGCAAAAGAAACUAAAGAUUGGUGGCGUGUUUGUUUCUGGGUACCUGUGGUUCCUGCUGCAUUACUUGCUAUCUCAAUGGAACUUUGUGCAGAGAGUCCUCACUGGCUCUUCAAGAUUCAAAGGAACAACUAUGUGUGUAUGAUUUAGAUUGUUUCUACACCCCUGUUGCCUGUUGGGUUAAUGUGCCUAUUGUUGGAGGACAUGCUGGCAUAAUCGUCCUACCAUGGUUUUCUCAGCCAAUCUCUCAUAUCAAGACAUUGAAGCUCUUACAAAGAGAACACAAGAUGGAGGAAUCGAGGUCGUGAAUGCAAAGGCUAGAAAGCUUUUAGCAACAUUGUCUAUUGCGAAUUUUUGGAUCUGAAGUGUUGUAUUGAUUUAUGGCUAGAGUAAUUUGGUUUGGCAGAAAGCUAGCAAUUAGAAAGUUGGAUGGGUCUAAAAGGGUAGAAUAUCAAAAAGUCUUGAAAGCCCAAAUGACAGCUGCCAUUUCAUAUCUGAGAACGUAGAGAGAAGAGGAGGAAGGGAAGAUAGUGAUGAGUCCUAACAAAAUCUCAGGGUUCUUAAGAAGGAAAGGAAAGUUGAGUAUAUCAUUGCCUUGCAGUGUCUUUUCUCUGUAAUUAUAUUUUUCGGUUCCUAGAAGAGGAAAGAGAUCUUUAGUUGCAAAAGCCUUUCUUCAUCCCUUGUUUAUUGUAUCUGAAUUUAUGAUUCACUCAUCAGUCUACAAGUGCUUCUUCAAAGCUCUUUUUAUUA